UCUUCCGUAGUAUAGUGGUCAGUAUGUGAGCUUGUCAACCACUGGACCUUCCUUCCCAAAGGAUUGGUCUAAAGUGGACAUCGCUCGAGACCCGGGUUCAAUUCCCGGCGGGAGAG